AGCAAUUGACAUUAGCGACAGAAGAAGCACCGGCUAACUCCGUGCCAGCAGCCGCGGUAAUACGGAGGGUGCGAGCGUUAAUCGGAAUUACUGGGCGUAAAGGGCACGCAGGCGGUUAAUUAAGUUGGAUGUGAAAUCCCCGGGCUUAACCUGGGAAUGGCAUUCAAGACUGGUUAGCUAGAGUCUUGUAGAGGGGGGCAGAAUUCCAUGUGUAGCGGUGAAAUGCGUAGAGAUGUGGAGGAAUACCGGUGGCGAAGGCGGCCCCCUGGACAAAGACUGACGCUCAUGUGCGAAAGCGUGGCGAGCAAACAGGAUUAGAUACCCUGGUAGUCCACGCUGUAAACGAUGUCGAUUUGGAGGUUGUGGUCAUGAACUGUGGCCUCCGGAGCUAACGCGUUAAAUCGACCGCCUGGGGAGUACGGCCGCAAGGUUAAAACUCAAAUGAAUUGACGGGGGCCCGCACAAGCGGUGGAGCAUGUGGUUUAAUUCGAUGCAACGCGAAGAACCUUACCUACUCUUGACAUCCAGCGAAUCCUUUAGAGAUAGAGGAGUGCCUUCGGGAGCGCUGAGACAGGUGCUGCAUGGCUGUCGUCAGCUCGUGUUGUGAAAUGUUGGGUUAAGUCCCGCAACGAGCGCAACCCUUAUCCUUUGUUGCCAGCGAGUAGAGUCGGGAACUCAAAGGAGACUGCCGGUGAUAAACCGGAGGAAGGUGGGGAUGACGUCAAGUCAUCAUGGCCCUUACGAGUAGGGCUACACACGUGCUACAAUGGCGUAUACAGAGAGAGGCGAGCCAGCGAUGGGGAGCGGAACUCAGAAAGUACGUCGAAGUCCGGAUUGGAGUCUGCAACUCGACUCCAUGAAGUCGGAAUCGCUAGUAAUCGCGGAUCAGCAUGUCGCGGUGAAUACGUUCCCGGGCUUGUACACACCGCCCGUCACACCAUGGAGUGGUUGCAAAAGAAGUAGGUAGCUUAACCUUUUGGAUGGCGCUUACCACUUUGUGAUUCAUGACUGGGGUGAAGUCGUAACAAGGUAACCGUAGGGGAACCUGCGGUUGGAUCACCUCCUUA
rnacentral:rRNA from 1 species